rnacentral:rRNA from 1 species
AGUUUGAUCAUGGCUCAGAUUGAACGCUGGCGGCAUGCCUUACACAUGCAAGUCGAACGGCAGCGGACCGUUCGGGUGCCGGCGAGUGGCGAACGGGUGAGUAAUAUAUCGGAACGUUACCUUUCAGGUGGGGGAUAACGUAGCGAAAGUUACGCUAAUACCGCAUAUUCUGUGAGCAGGAAAGCGGGGGAUCGCAAGACCUCGCGCGAUUGGAGCGGCCGAUAUCAGAUUAGGUAGUUGGUGGGGUAAAAGCCUACCAAGCCUUCGAUCUGUAGCUGGUCUGAGAGGACGACCAGCCACACUGGAACUGAGACACGGUCCAGACUCCUACGGGAGGCAGCAGUGGGGAAUUUUGGACAAUGGGCGCAAGCCUGAUCCAGCAAUGCCGCGUGCAGGAUGAAGGCCUUCGGGUUGUAAACUGCUUUUGUACGGAACGAAACGGUUCUUUCUAAUACAGAGAGCUAAUGACGGUACCGUAAGAAUAAGCACCGGCUAACUACGUG